UACGUAGGGUGCGAGCGUUAAUCGGAAUUACUGGGCGUAAAGCGUGCGCAGGCGGCUUUGCAAGACAGAUGUGAAAUCCCCGGGCUCAACCUGGGAACUGCAUUUGUGACUGCAAGGCUAGAGUACGGGAGAGGGGGAUGGAAUUCCGCGUGUAACAGUGAAAUGCGUAGAUAUGCGGAGGAACACCAAUGGCGAAGGCA
rnacentral:rRNA from 1 species